CUUCCAGUAGCACCUUAGAGACCAACUAAGUUUGUUAUUGGUAUGAGCUUUUGUGUGCAUGCAAGCUCAUACCAAUAACAAACUUAGUUGGUCUCUAAGGUGCUACUGGAAG